CCCUUAGAUGUUCUGGGCCGCACGCGCGCUACACUGACGAUGGCAACGAGUUUUUCCUUCGCCGAAAGGUGUGGGUAAUCUUUUGAAACAUCGUCGUGCUGGGGAUAGAUCAUUGCAAUUUUUGAUCUUGAACGAGGAAUUCCUAGUAAGCGCGAGUCAUCAGCUCGCGUUGAUUACGUCCCUGCCCUUUGUACACACCGCCCGUCGCUACUACCGAUUGAAUGGUUUAGUGAGGACUCCUGAUUGGCGCCGCCGCCCCGGCAACGGAGCAGCGGACUGCCGAAAAGUUGUUCAAACUUGAUCAUUUAGAGAAAGUAAAAGUCGUAACA
rnacentral:rRNA from 1 species